UCCACGCCGUAAACGAUGAUCACUAGAUGUGGGUCUUGUUUUGCAAGAUCCGUGUCGAAGCUAACGCGUUAAGUGAUCCGCCUGGGGAGUACGGUCGCAAGAUUAAAACUCAAAGGAAUUGACGGGGGUCCGCACAAGCGGUGGAACAUGUGGUUUAAUUCGACACUACGCGAGGAACC
rnacentral:rRNA from 1 species